rnacentral:rRNA from 1 species
GACGAACGCUGGCGGCGUGCUUAACACAUGCAAGUCGAACGGAAAGGCCCUGCUUGCAGGGUACUCGAGUGGCGAACGGGUGAGUAAUACGUGGGUGAUCUGCCCUGCACUUCGGGAUAAGCUUGGGAAACUGGGUCUAAUACCGGAUAGGAGCCAUCUUUAGUGUGGUGGUUGGAAAGUUUUUUCGGUGUAGGAUGAGCUCGCGGCCUAUCAGCUUGUUGGUGGGGUAAUGGCCUACCAAGGCGGCGACGGGUAGCCGGCCUGAGAGGGUGUACGGCCACAUUGGGACUGAGAUACGGCCCAGACUCCUACGGGAGGCAGCAGUGGGGAAUAUUGCACAAUGGGCGCAAGCCUGAUGCAGCGACGCCGCGUGGGGGAUGAAGGCCUUCGGGUUGUAAACUCCUUUCGCUAGGGACGAAGCUUUUUUGUGACGGUACCUAGAUAAGAAGCACCGGCUAACUACGUG